rnacentral:rRNA from 1 species
ACAUGCAGUCGAGGGGCAGCAAGGGUAGCAAUACCUGUUGGCGACCGGCAAACGGGUGCGGAACACGUACAGAACCUUCCUUUAAGCGGGGGAUAGCCCAUAGAAAUGUGGAUUAAUACCCCAUAGUAAUAUUGACUGGCAUCAGUUAGUAUUUAAAGAUUUAUCACUUAAAGAUGGCUGUGCGGCUGAUUAGGUAGUUGGUGUGGGUAACGGCCCACCAAGCCAUCGAUCAGUAACUGGUGUGAGAGCACGACCAGUCACACGGGCACUGAGACACGGGCCCGACUCCUACGGGAGGCAGCAGUAAGGAAUAUUGGUCAAUGGACGCAAGUCUGAACCAGCCAUGCCGCGUGAAGGAUGAAGGCCCUCUGGGUUGUAAACUUCUUUUAUCUGGGAAGAAAUGCCUGUUUUCUAACGGGUUUGACGGUACCAGAGGAAUAAGCACCGGCUAACUCCGUGCCAGCAGCCGCGGUAAUACGGAGGGUGCAAGCGUUAUCCGGAUUCACUGGGUUUAAAGGGUGCGUAGGUGGGUUGGUAAGUCAGUGGUGAAAUCUCCGUGCUUAACAUGGAAACUGCCAUUGAUACUACUGAUCUUGAAUUUUCGGGAGGUAAGCGGAAUAUGUCAUGUAGCGGUGAAAUGCUUAGAUAUGACAUAGAACACCAAUUGCGAAGGCAGCUUACUACAGGAAUAUUGACACUGAUGCACGAAAGCGUGGGGAUCAAACAGGAUUAGAUACCCUGGUAGUCCACGCCCUAAACGAUGGAUACUCGACAUUUGUGAUACACAAUAAGUGUCUGAGCGAAAGCAUUAAGUAUCCCACCUGGGAAGUACGACCGCAAGGUUGAAACUCAAGGAAUUGACGG